GAAUGGGGAGCCCACAGGCCGA
rnacentral:siRNA from 1 species